rnacentral:tRNA from 1 species
GCCCCUAUAGCUCAGCUGGAUAGAGCGUCCCCCUCCUAAGGGGAAGGCCUCAGGUUCGAAUCCUGAUGGGGGUA